UUUUUUUUUUUUGCCUUUUACACUUUUUUUUUUUAAUUGUUAUUUCCCCAAUACAAUUUCUUUUUCUACUGUACAGCAUGGUGACCCAGUUACACAUACAUGUACACAUUCUAUUUUUGCACAUUAUCAUGCUCCAUCAUAAGUGACUAGACAUAGAUAGUUCCCAGUACCACACAGCAGGAUCUCAUUGCCAAUCCAUUCCAAAGGCCAUAGUUUGUAUCUGUUAACCCCAAGCUCCCCAACCACCCCACUCCCUCUCCCUCCCCCUUGGCAACCACAAAUCUAUUCUCCAAGUCCAUGAUUUUCUUUUCUGUGGAAAGGUUCAUUUGUGCCUUCCGCUAAUUUUUAAGGAUGGUGUUCCUUUUUAGAAAUGCUGCAUUACUUGUUUAAGAUUACAUUUCUAAAUUACCUUUUAUACUCCAUUACUGAGUAUCAAUUUCUAUAUAGACUGGGUAGGAUUUUUUUUUAAUAUUUUAUAGCCUUCUGAACAAAAUUUAUUAAUCAGAGAGCCCCAUGAACCAUAAACUUUAAUACACUAAUUUCUUUUACUUCAAGUUGGGAGUUGUAAUUUAACAUUUGGCUUCUUUUAUUAAAGAAGGCAGCUUUAAGACAAUGAUUAUAACCCUAGAGUUUAAGUUUGAGAUAUUUAUAAAUGGUUUUAAUUCCUAUUUUAAAUCCUGCAGAGGAACAAUGCAGAUAUAACUUAAAACAUAAAAAGUUGCUUUUCUUAAAAAGUCGUUCUUACCAGAUACAUGAAUAAAAAGACUUAUUUGCUAUGCAUUAUCAAAAGUUUAAGUUUUCUUAAAAUUGGGCCUUAAAUCUCAUUGUUUCAUCAAAAAAUGAAAGAAAUUUCACUUUUAGUCUAGUUGCUUCCAUUUCUGUUUUUAUCUCUGUGUUGGCUUUUGUGGGAUCUGAAGCAUAUGUAGUUUUGGAAUUUUGCUACACAAUUUUAACUGCAAAAAUUAAUAUUGGUAUUAACCAUUUUAGAACAAUAAAACACAAAAACUGCACAUCUGAAAGAGCUGAUAAAUAUCACAAACAUCACAUAAUCCAGAAAAAAUUUUAUAGCUGAUUACAUAGUACUUUUUUUCUGUUCGUAUUUUGACUGCUUGCUCAUUGGCUGCCUUUCCCUAAAACAUUGAUUUCAUAAUAUUUUCUAUAGGAAGAAUAGAAAGAUAAUUAAACCUUUCCUCUGGGAUGUUUGACCACAAUGUGUUGGUAUUUGUGAUUCUGCCUUGGUAUCAUAUGACCUCUCCUACAAACCUACUUACCGGUUGUAGUAGGGAUAUAUGCAUGAGCCCUAAGACCAAAAUCAUAAUAAAUCCUGUUUCCUAAGAUUUGCUACAAAGGCAAAAAAAAAAGUUCUGUUUAUAAUAUGUCAUAUUGUCAAGUCUCUUAAAUAGGGUUCUUUUGACCUAGUGUCCAUGAGAAAUAGAUUUUCAGCUUUCAGUUUUCCAUGUGUAACUAUCAGAAUAAUUUUCCAAAGACUAGUGCCUUUCUUCAUUACAUUUCAAAACAUGCUUCCUCUGCUAUGCGUGUACUUCUGGUGUCAGUCAACUCUGAGUCCAUGCAGGUGAGAGGGUGGUAGAGGUGUUUUGAGAGGUCAUUAUGUACUGAGGUGACUAGUAAUAACUUAACUAGGCAUGGAAGCUAACCAUGUAAUGCCAUGCAGACUUUAUAAAUACCUCUUACUAAACCCAAACUUAACUUGGAUCUGCCUCAAGUUCUCUGGGCUGGAUUUCCAAAAUGUCUGGAUUUUCUGACACUGCCCAACAUGAAGGCGUGACUAGAAAGAGAAAGUUAUGUUAAGCAACUAUGGAUGAAAAAUUUGAUCAUAGAAAAUGUCACAAAUUUUAACAAAAUAAAUGAUUGUGUGAGUCCACAGGUGAGUCCCUGAACAAAUGAGAUGCUUCCCCGGCUUGAGUUAUGUUUGCCCCUAUUUCACUUUCGAUAUGUAGGAUGAUUCAUAAAACCCACUAACUUUCUGAAUUGUAUCUACCUUAAUUCACUGUGGAUGACAUGGUAUUAGUGCAUAUUAUUGCUUUUUGAGGUUUUAUUCAGUUUGUGCCUUAAAAUAAAAAUUUAUUGGAGCUCUUGUAACAAAGAGCCCCUAAUGGAAAAUGGAAUUUUUAAAAAACCUAUUAGAUUUACUUUACAGAAAUUGGCUUACUAUUAAAAGGAAUGGUUUUGUAUAUUCAUUCAGGGAGUACAAAACACCAGUGAUGCCAUGUGUGUUGCUUCUAUGCAAAGUAAGUGGGAGGAGAGAGUGUUUUUAGUUACAGCAAACAAGUGUACAACAGUUACACCAUGUGCCAGGUGCUGCUUCAAGUGCCUCUCCUGUGUGACCAUGUCUAGUUCUGGCAGAACUGCACAUAGCAGAUAAACUGAAAGCCCCCCCCCCCCGCCCCAUAUCAAGAAUUUCUAGGUGAAAUACAACAAAAUUCCUAGCAAAUGCCUGGCAGAGGUUCUAAGGGAAGAUAAAGGAAGCCACCAAAUACUCGAAACAGGAAGGGGACCGAAAACUAGGAGGUGACAAUCGGGAAGCGCUCUGUGAUGCCCUUGGUAGAAGGUCAUCACUUGGGUUAUAAAGCUCAUGUGGAGUUAGAAGUGAGAGAGUUGGAACUGCUCCCCCUCCAUAAGAUAAGAACUCUGAAAAGGCUGUAUUCUCUGAGCCAGGGUGUUCUAAAGAGUCUUUGCCCUCAUACAGGAAAGCAGAAGGAAAUGGAUCUGUCUUUCUCUGGGUCCUGGGUAGGAAAAGAAAAGUCAUCCUAGAAAAACUUGGACUUAAGUACCUGAUUUCCUGUGAAUUUGAAAUUUAUAUUUGUAAUUCCCAUGUGUUCCAGGAGCUGCAGACUGAGAAAUUAACUCCCAAAUUAGUUUUGUGUUCAUAAUAGCCUUGGGAAAAGUCCAAGACCCAAAAUCUGCUCUGGAGGGAGUCUUUUUGAGAUAUUAGGAAAUCAAUAAAUAACUCUCUUUCUCCUGACUUGGGACCCAACUAAAUCAUAACGAGGCAGGUGUCAAUUGGAAUUUCACCUCUAUGCCUGACACAUCUGGUUGGAUAGUGCGUAGCAUGAGCUCACUAGGACUUCACUCUCAAACCUGAUCAACUUCUUCCUUGAGUCUUAGCUCAGCUUUAUUAUAAUUGCUAAUCGCCCACAUGAGACAGACCGUUCAUAGAAAUCCCCCAAAGAUUGUAGGUGGUCUUGCAGUCAUCUUUGUCCCUAAAUAAUUGCAGAAGGAAUAAUCCACCAGUAAUAUGGAACAGUUCUAAAGCUGCAUGCACCUAAUAAAAUGGUCUCGGGAUCUAUAAAUAAAUCAAAUAGAGAAAUGGGCAAAUUCACAAUCACAGAAAAAAAGCUUCAACUUCCUUUUCUUGGUAAUUGAGACCCUAGGUGGACCAGUAUUAGAAAGGACAUAGAAAAUACGAAACAAGUCAGUAAAGAAUCUUGAUGUCAUAGACAAAGUCAGAACCUUGGACUAACAAGAAAUACUUUCUGUUUGUAUAUAUGAGCCAGUAAGCUACAGGUGACAGAAUGAAAGUUAUACGUGCAUUUACAUCCUUGCAUAGAAACUCUGGGUUGUGAAAGAAGAUAUUUACAUAAAUGUUAAGUAUAGGAUUGUUUAUAAUACAAAAAAACCCCAAAUGCCCAGAAGUAGAAGACCAGAUAAAUGGAUUGUGUUCAUAUGAGGAAUACUAAAUGUUAGUUAAAACGACUGGACUAGAAUUAUCUGACUUAAAAUGGGUAGGUCUCAUAAAGGUGAGUGUCAAAUUGUAGAAUAACAUAUGUAGCAUAAUGACGUUAAUGUUAAGUUAAAAUGUAAAAACCAUAGUACUCAUGGGUACGUAAAUCAUUGCCAAUUGGUAAGUGAUAUGUGUACAUACUGGAAGGAGCAAGGAAGGGGAACACGUUUUACAAAAGUUCUUCUGACUGAAUUUUUUUGUUGUUGCUGUUAAAAGCAAUUCUCGAAGAUGAUGCUUGGGCGUGUGGGAGUGACAUUUUCAGCUCUGGAAUAUAAAGGGAUGAGUGUUGGAUCUUUGAGAAUAUAUAAAAAAAAAUCAUACUCUAAAUAUAAUUGUUUUCCUUUUAAAUCUUUACCGUUUCCCCAUAAGGUGAUAGGUAGGUAGAUUUCUGUUCCCCCCGUUUUAAAGAUAAUACCAAUGAGCCACAAGAGGGAGAACCCCAAAUCUAAAUUCCACACCUUUGGCUCAGUGUUCUAUCCAUAAUUAUUCUACUCUGACAUUUUCUACUUCCCCAUUCUCAGAAUGUGAUUUCAUUCUUUUUUCAAAGCCAGUGUAGUAGAACAUAACUAAUGAUGGGGUACUCACUGGAAAUCACCAAGUAUCAAGAAUUGGUGGAGUUCCUGUUGUGGCUCAACAGGUUAGGAGCCUGACAUAGUGUCCGUGAGGUUGCAGGUUCAAUCCCUGGCCUCACUCAGUGAGUUAAGGAUCCGGCCUUCCCGCAAGCUGUAGCUUGGAUCCAGUGUUGCCCUGUAGCUGCUGGCCACAGCCACAGCCACAGCAAUAUGGGAUCCGAACUACAUCUUCGACCUACACCACAGCUCAUGGCAACGCCGGAUUCUUAACCCACUGAGCAAGGCCAGGGAUCAAAACCCUCAUCCUUGGGGAUACUAGUCGGAUGCAUUUCCACUGCACCACAAUGGGAAUUUCCUCUUCCAGUGUUUUAAAUAAAAGGGUAUAUUUUAAAGCAUCUUGAAAAUGUUUGCAAAAAUGUUUCGAAUGUUUGAAAGCUUUUCUCUCUUUCACAUGUUUGUCCUAGUGGUCAGAGCAAAAAGACCAAAAUGGGCCCUGGGGCUCCCAGAUGUUUGUCCAGUAUCUGCGACUCACUAACUUGAUCAUUUGAGAAAGACAAUCCUCUUGAACCGCAGUUUUCUUCUGUUUAUGAAUUGUUUGGGUUUGGAAAUCUCUAAUGACCUUUUCAGCUUGAAAAUGUUAUUAAUCUGGGAUUUCUUAAGACUGUUACCCAACGCAAAUCCAUAUGCGCGACGCACACUGAGGCCAAACAAUACUGAUAGAUCAGAAUUUGGAGCAGAGCAAGGUUGAUUGCAGGGCCAUGCAAGGAGAUGGAUGACUUGUGCCUCCAAAAGCCCUGAACUCCCUGAAGGCUUUCAUCAAAGCCCUUCUAAAGGCAGGAUGAGGGAGAGGCAUUGUUAGUUGUCACAGAUUUCUUGGUGUGUUCCUGUAAAGCUCCAACAAAACAGAUGUUAUUCUCUGUUCUGCAAGUUUUUGUCUAAAAAUGUAAUACUCUUAAAGGUCAUGGCCCUAAGAAGAGGCUGUGUAUUUCAGGCUAUAGGGAGCAUCCUAUAGGCGGCAUAUUUGUGCAAAAGGAGCAGAGCCAGGACACUUAGCACAAGUGACAGAGGACAAGAAUUAAAGUAAGGUCAAAAUAAAAAGAACAGAUUCAAUAUAGAGUCAAAGUUGUUCUUCCCUAUUACAAGAGGGGUGGGUGGGGGUUACCUGGUCCGGUCCAUUAUUCCAUGCUGGAAGAUUGGAAGUGGUGUAUAGGGGAACAAUGUUUAGUUUAAUAAUUCAGUAUUUUACUGUGAGUUUGAACCAAAUAGGAUUUGCAAAAAAAAAAUCAAGGUUUCCUGAUUAUUGAUGCUUAGGACAAGGUGAAAAUAAAAGGAAUCAUUUUAGUGAAAAAUAUUAAGAAAAUAUGUGUUUUAUGCAUGUAUGGAGAAACAUUAGAAAUAUUGCAAGCCUGGGCUAGGUCCAAUAUACUCUAUUAAUUCAUGAAUCUAAGUUGAUGUGCUCUUAUGUUGCUUUUCAUGAGACCCAGAAAGACCACAGUUCUCUUAGGAGAACAGUGUAGAUGGUGAUUUAACCAUUUGCUUGACCUGCAUUGAGUGUAACCUGACAAGUACUGUGCCAGGUCCCAGGAUCCUUGGGUGAGUGGUUGUGACUUAGACCUUUGGUAGCUUGUAGUCUCAUGGGAUGUCAGGAGUGCAAAUGAGUAAUUGUAACCUAGUAUCAUAUCUGCAGUAGUGCAAGUAUGUACUAGGGACCAGACUGGGGAGAGCAGAGAGGAAGGAGGCCACCUCUUCCAUGGGAGCACCAGGGAAAGCAUCGCUGCAGUUAUGCUUGACCUGGCUGACACAUUGGGAAUGGCCAUUCCAGGUCUAGGGAAUGGGCAGUCCGGAGGCUUUCAGCAGAUUCUUGGGAUUCUUGGUGUUUCCUGAUAUGUGUUUUCGUAUAGGAAGAACCUACUAGAGAAGAUGUUGUUUUCACUCUCUCUUCCCAGUUCCAUGCCACAAGCCUGAGCUAAUCUUGCAGUAUUCAUGGAUUAGAUUCUGGAACAUUGGCCACCAUCUCUGCACUCUCCUGUUACCUGGCUCAGGGCUUUUUUUUUUCUUUCUCUCCUGAAUGAGUCCUAAGUAAAAAUCCGCAUAUCCUCUAAACAUUCAUUUUCAAUAUGGCUUUUGCUAUUUUUAAAAAGGCAAAGAGAAGAAAAAUGAUUUUCAUGAUCUUGGAUGAGGGAAGACUUUGUGGCCCUAAUUAAAUGCCUGAGUUUGGUUUUGUGUUUGCUGGGAGCCUACUGUAAAGCAAACCGAUGUGGCCUUCUGUUCUGUUCAAGGCGCCAAGAGCUUGCUGGGCUGGGUUCCCACUGAGUCUGGUAAUGCAUUCCUUCUGUCCCACCCUGUAUUGCAGAGCUUCGGAGGCUGAUGACAUCACCUUGGAUGAUAAAGCUGUCCUCCAAAGGGUUACAAGAAGAGCUGCCAGAGUGGAGCAAGGGAUGGAGGUGGGGGUGCAGAGGGGCUUGCCGCUCUGUCCAACGUUGUCAUUGCAUUUGCCUUCUUAAAAAAAAAAAAAAAUCCCUCUGUAGAAAUAGGAGAGAUUACACUUUUAAAUGUGAAGUAUUUUAUGGGGCUAAUUUAUUGCUCCAUUGCCGCCUGCCCUGCAAGCAGAUCUGUUCAUCUGUUCCCUUGACAGCCUGCAGAUUUAAGUUUGCCUCGCCUCCCAGUGGGCCUCAUCUGGACACCUUGGGAGCUGGUGGGAAUCAUGUAUAAAGUAGGUGUGGGCUGCCAGGGAGAAUCGUUUGAUGCAGUGUUCCUCUGGUUGAAAAUUUUCCUGUCAGGGCUGGGGGUUUACUGAUGCUUCUCGCCAUCCCAUCCUCAAUUCAAUUGUUCAAAGCUCCUCAUCGUUGUUUAAGUCCCAUCUUCAGCGCCACCUCUUGCAGGCACCUUCCCUGACUGUAUAAGGCGUGGGUGAGACCCCACCCUGUGCUUGGUAGCGUCACUUCUCAGUUGCCUCACUGCACUGCAGGCUGCGGGAAGGCAGGGAUGAUGGCAUUUGUGGGGAGCUUACCUCGUGCCAAGCCCCUUCUAAGUGCUUUCCGUGAGAGGCUGAGUUCCAGUCCCUAAGCUAGGCCACGCAUGUGAACUCUUUGAGGGUGAAAGAGGCAGGACUUGGGCUGAGGUUGGGCCAUGAUAAGGGGCCCUGGCUUUGGAGGUAGAAAUGAUCUUAGCCUGACGCCCUCUGAGCUUGUUACUCAGGGAACUCUAAUCUCAGUUGCCAGGCAUAUGACCACAGGGUGCUUGAGCCGUGUUUACCAUAUUUCAUCCCUUGCAAAUGGGACACUUUUUAAAAGCACCCACUUUUUGGGGGCUGUUCCUGUGGCCUGAGGAAGUUCCCGGGCAAGGGAUCGAACCUGAGCCAUGGCAGUGACAAUGCCAAGUUCUCAACUGCAGGCCACCUUUAACAUUUUUAACAUUUUUGAAACUGAGAAACAUCUUACAGUUGCUUGCACAUCAUGGUUUAAAUGGCAGUGGGUCAAGAUUCUUAGGACAUGGAAUCUGGCAUUGCUGUGGCUCAGGCGUAGGAAGGCGGCAACAGCUCCGAUUAGACCCCUAGCCUGAGAACAUCCGUAUGCUGUGGGUGCGGCCCUAAAAAGACCAAAACAAGGCACAAAAAAAAAAAAAAAAA
rnacentral:lncRNA from 1 species